GCCCAUUGUGGGCCAAGGGAUCCUCCGCCUGGCGUCCCUGGACAAACAGGGUCCAUGGCUUUCAGAGGACCUCCAAGGAAAAGGGAUCCUGAUGAUAGCAACUCCAAGUAAUCCAGGGAUAGAACCGUAUGGAGAACAAGGACCAGAUACAUUGUUUCCAGAAAGGCAGAAGACUACAUUACCAUGACUUCCUAAUAUGUCUG